rnacentral:rRNA from 1 species
CUACGGGACGCUCCAGUGAGGAAUAUUGCACAAUGGGGGGAACCCUGAUGCAGCAACGCCGCGUGGAGGAUGACGCAUUUCGGUGUGUAAACUCCUUUUAUAUGUCAAGAAAAUGACGGUAGCAUAUGAAUAAGCACCGGCUAACUCCGUGCCAGCAGCCGCGGUAAUACGGAGGGUGCAAGCGUCACUCGGAAUCACUGGGCGUAAAGGACGCGUAGGCGGGUUGGAAAGUCAGGUGUGAAAUCCUACAGCUUAACUGUAGAACUGCACCUGAAACUUCUAAUCUAGAGUAUGGGAGGGGGAGAUGGAAUUAGUGGUGUAGGGGUAAAAUCCGUAGAUAUCACUAGGAAUACCUAAAGCGAAGGCGAUCUCCUGGAACAUUACUGACGCUAAGGCGUGAAAGCGUGGGGAGCAAACAGGAUUAGAUACCCCAGUAGUC